CUGGCUCAGGACGAACGCUGGCGGCGUGCCUAAUACAUGCAAGUCGAGCGGACAGAUGGGAGCUUGCUCCCUGAUGUUAGCGGCGGACG
rnacentral:rRNA from 1 species